rnacentral:rRNA from 1 species
GGGGCCGAGCGUUGUCCGGAGUUAUUGGGCGUAAAGCGCGCGCAGGCGGCUUCGCGCGCCCGACGUGAAAGCCCCCGGCUUAACCGGGGAGAGUCGUUGGGGACGGCGGGGCUUGAGGGCGGGAGAGGUCGGUGGAAUUCCCGGUGUAGUGGUGAAAUGCGUAGAGAUCGGGAGGAACACCUGUGGCGAAGGCGGCCGACUGGGCCGACCCUGACGCUGAGGCGCGAAGGCGUGGGGAGCGA